GUAUGCAGCAAGUAUAGAUGGACUCCUAGAAGAAGAAGAGUUGUAUGCAGAUCAGUUGAAAGAAUAUUUAUUUUACUCAGAUGCAUUAAAAACAGUGUGCAGGAAACAAGAAGUAUUACAAUAUAAUCUUGAAAAAGCUGAAGAAAAUCUAGCUACAAAGGGAAAACAAAAAGAGCUGUUAGCAUCUGGUCAGUCCGGGUUCUCCUUCAAAGGAUUAUUUAAAACAGAAACAACUGAAAGUAAAGAUCUAAAAAUAAAGCAAAUAGAAGAACAGUUAAUAGAAGCUGAAGAACAAGUCAAGAAAUGCCAGGAAGAAAUAACGUAAGUAAUAUUUAU